CCGGAUGGCGACCGGCGCACGGGUGAGUAACACGUAUCCAACCUGCCGUCUACUCUUGGACAGCCUUCUGAAAGAAAGAUUAAUACCCGAUGGUAUAAUAAAGCCGCAUGGUUUAAUUAUUAAAGAAUUUCGGUUAUCGAUGGGGAUGCGUUCCAUUAGGCAGUUGGUGAGGUAACGGCUCACCAAACCUUCGAUGGAUAGGGGUUCUGAGAGGAAGGUCCCCCACAUUGGAACUGAGACACGGUCCAA
rnacentral:rRNA from 1 species